AUUGAACGCUGGCGGCAGGCCUAACACAUGCAAGUCGAACGAGUGGCGUACGGGUGAGUAAUGUCUGGGACACUGCCUGAUGGAGGGGGAUAACUACUGGAAACGGUAGCUAAUACCGCAUACCCUCGGAUGUGCCCCGAUGGGAUUAGCUAGUAGGUGGGGUAACGGCUCACCUAGGCGACGAUCCCUAGCUGGUCUGAGAGGAUGACCAGCCACACGGGAACUGAGACACGGGCCAGAAUCCUACGGGAGGCAGCAGUGGGGAAUAUUGCACAAUGGGCGCAAGCCUGAUGCAGUCAUGCCGCGUGUAUGAAGAAGGCCUUCGGGUUGUAAAGUACUUUCAGCGGGGAGGCGUUACCCGCAGAAGAAGCACCGGCUAACUCCGUGCCAGCAGCCGCGGUAAUAC
rnacentral:rRNA from 1 species